GGUCAAAGCCUAGGGUCAAAAGAGGAUCAAAAAGUCAAAACAGAACUUCAAACUUGACAUGAAGCAACUUCAAACACAUAUUGACAUAUCCUAAAAAGGCUCACAUCAAAAAAGGAUCAAAAAGUCAAAACAGAACUUCAAACUUGACAUGAAGCAACUUCAAACACAUAUUGACAUAUCCUAAAAAGGCUCACAUCAAAAUCAUUAACCAAAUUCAUUUCAUGAUCAAGUGAAGUCAAAGGCAAUUUCAAAGUUCAUAUGUGAUCAACAUGAAUG
rnacentral:lncRNA from 1 species